GAUGAACGCUAGCUACAGGCUUAAACACAUGCAAGUCGAGGGGCAGCAGGAUCUAGCAAUAGAUUGCUGGCGACCGGCGCACGGGUAGAGUAACACGUAUCCAACCUGCCGAUAACUCGGGGAUAGCCUUUCGAAAGAAAGAUUAAUACCCGAUAGUAUAAUCAGACCGCAUGGUUUGAUUAUUAAAGAAUUUCGGUUAUCGAUGGGGAUGCGUUCCAUUAGGCAGUUGGUGAGGUAACGGCUCACCAAACCUUCGAUGGAUAGGGGUUCUGAGAGGAAGGUCCCCCACAUUGGAACUGAGACACGGUCCAAACUCCUACGGGAGGCAGCAGUGAGGAAUAUUGGUCAAUGGGCGAGAGCCUGAACCAGCCAAGUAGCGUGAAGGAUGACUGCCCUAUGGGUUGUAAACUUCUUUUAUAAAGGAAUAAAGUCGGGUAUGGAUACCCGUUUGCAUGUACUUUAUGAAUAAGGAUCGGCUAACUCCGUG
rnacentral:rRNA from 1 species